rnacentral:rRNA from 1 species
CCUACGGGAGGCAGCAGUCGAGAAUCAUUCACAAUGGGGGAAACCCUGAUGGUGCGACGCCGCGUGGGGGAAUGAAGGUCUUCGGAUUGUAAACCCCUGUCAUGUGGGAGCAAAUUAAAAAGAUAGUACCACAAGAGGAAGAGACGGCUAACUCUGUGCCAGCAGCCGCGGUAAUACAGAGGUUUCAAGCGUUGUUCGGAAUCACUGGGCGUAAGGCGUGCGUAGGCUGUUUCGUAAGUCGUGUGUGAAAGGCGCGGGCUCAACCCGCGGACGGCACAUGAUACUGCGAGACUAGAGUAAUGGAGGGGGAACCGGAAUUCUCGGUGUAGCAGUGAAAUGCGUAGAUAUCGAGAGGAACACUCGUGGCGAAGGCGGGUUCCUGGACAUUAACUGACGCUGAGGCACGAAGGCCAGGGGAGCGAAAGGGAUUAGAUACCCCGGUAGUC